rnacentral:rRNA from 1 species
UACGUAGGGGGCGAGCGUUGUCCGGAGUUACUGGGCGUAAAGCGCACGCAGGCGGUCUGCUAAGUUUGGAGUGACAGUUGGUGGCUUAACUGCCAAAGUGCUUCGAAAACUGACAGACUUGAGGGCUUCAGAGGGACACGGAAUUCCGGGUGGAGUGGUGAAAUGCGCAGAUAUCAGGAGGAACACCGGUGGCGAAGGCGGGUCUCUGGGCCGACACUGACGCUGAGGAGCGAAAGCGUGGGGAGCGAACAGG